GGGACAAUGCGAGAGUCGUGGAC
rnacentral:siRNA from 1 species